GGACAUCAUGACAAAAAGUGAGGCCACAUUAAAAUAUAAGAACAGACCCCCAAAAGUUGGUUGGUUUAUUAAUUACUGGUUCUUCAGCUCUUAUAUGCAUGCCUCAAAGGAGUUGCCACUCUUCUCAUCAUCAAGCAUUUGAACAACUUGAGAAACGCCUGCCGCAAUCUCCUUCUGAAUAACACCAUCCGGCAUGUCGAAGGUCCUCCUUCUCAUGGAAAGGGAUCUACCUGCAGGCUGAGGGUCCACCACAUCAAGCAUUGCUUCCAGCUCAUCCACCAUUGACCUCUUUGCAGCUCGCACCAUCAGAUCAGCUCCCUAAAAUUGGCAAAGCCAUCAGCAUAACCCCAGCAGCAUAAGCAUUAUUGGUUGGCCAAUUGAGUAUUAAUCAAUCUAAGCCUCUAGCAAUUAGUUAAUUUGCCAGGAACACUUGCUUCCUGAUCAUAAGGCAGGUUAACAAUUAUCCUAAAUGGAAACCAUAAUGGGCAGACGCUAUGCCCAACUGCAUAUGGAUUAAAGGCAUAUCACAGGGUAAAAGUGAAAAAAAAAACGAAGCUCGUGAAUUUCGAGUAGUAAGUCACUCUUGAAGACUACCAUCUUGUCAAAUACUGAUUUAGAAGAGAUAAGAGCUCCUUUUACCUCAAUAGCAUCAACGGUCAGGAGUAGAACAAUAAUUUUCUCCGAAAACCUUUGUCGCUCUUCAGCAUCUCGGCUCACUAUCUGGCGGUAGGAGAAGUUAUUGAACAAUGCUCUAAUCUCCUUCAACUUGGUCUUGGCAACAGCAAGAUCCCUAAGGGCACGAAGAGCCUGAGACCUACGAAUCAGAUAAGCUCUGAAAGUUAUCUGAAUCAUCAUUGCAGCAUCUUGAGGAGACAAUUCCUUUUGCUUCCCCUUGUUGUUUCUAACAGAUCCAAAUCUUUUGGCAAAGGCCUACAUCCACAAGCAAAAAGGUAAAAAAAAAAAUAAAAAAGCACGUCAGAAUGAAUUCAAGAAAACAUGCAAGCUACAAAAGUAAAAUAAAUCAGGCUUUAAGGAUAUUGUUAAGCUCAUGAAUCAUGAUGAGUUAAUGAAAAUAAAAGACAGACGGGAAUAUAACUUUGCUCUGAUGAUCAGACUCUAAACAGGUUGACAUGUUGCAUUUUAGGGGAGAUGCCUCGUGAUAAAAUAGAGAAAGAGAAAAAAGCACAAAAACAACAGGUAGCAAUGACCUCCCUAGUGAAAACAUAACCACAUGCCUAUUGCCCAUUUAAAUUAAUAGUUACAAUUUAGGAAUAGGUGAACUAAAUCUGCACUCUGUCAAUUGAAAUCAGUAAAUGGACCUGAGCUGCACAGGACAAGUAUUGCAGAGAGUAACAUACCGAGAACAAGGUGCAGAGAGUAACAUACCAAGAACAAGGCCAGAAACAAAUGCUUGGUUUUUUAAAAAAAAAAGGAAAAAAGGUAGUAAAAACAUAACUUCUUGCCAAAUAUGCUGAUACAUGUCUCCUUUUCAGGAUCUGUUUUAAUAAAACAUUAAUUUGACAUAAAAUUUCCUGAAAAUUUUCAAUAUUCCUCCCAUUUACACAUUAACUAGUUAGCUCCAAAGAAGGGCAGGGAUCUUUACUGGGAGUGCAUUAAUAUUCAAGUUAAAGAGAAGCCGAAGUAUGAAAGUACUCAUGACAUGAAAAUUAAAGCAAGAUCAUCAAAAAGUUUAUGGAUUCAAAUUCAUCAAUGCUCUAUGAGCUAAAAUUUUAAGCUAGAAAAUUGAUAAACUUGCACCCACAAAUUUGCAAUUUCAUAGCAAAUAUCCGAUGUGUAACUGUAAACAUCAAGUAACAGUUCAUUAUUAAAAUAAAUAAUCGUAGCCGAAACAAUCAACGUCACAAAAUUCCCUACUAUUCUUAAUCAUGGUCAUUGUCACUCACGUUUCAGACUUCAAUCAUACCCAACAGAUAGCGAAAGCAUUUUAGUUAAAACUGACCCCACAAAACAAAGAAAAUCAAACACAAAUUCUACACUAAAAAAUAAAAAUAAUAAAAAUAUUAUUUAUAAUAAUAAUUACCCAAAUACCUGUCUCAAAACAACAGCCCCAUGAUCAGCAGCAGGCUCUUCGAUCUCCACCACACGUGUCGCACUCUCACAUUUCUUCUUCUCCUUCUUCUUCUCUUUCUCUUUCUUUUCGGAUUUGCUACCCUCGCCUGCAUCAACAGUUGAUGCUACGAAAGUGUA
rnacentral:lncRNA from 1 species